rnacentral:guide_RNA from 1 species
AAACUAACGAUCUACGGAUUUAGAGAUGAUGUCAAUGUUAUAUGAU